ACGAACGCUGGCGGUGUGCUUAACACAUGCAAGUCGAACGGUAAGGCCCUUUCGGGGGUAUACGAGUGGCGAACGGGUGAGUAACACGUGAGUAACCUGCCCUCAUCUCUGGGAUAACAGUCGGAAACGGUUGCUAAUACUGGAUAUGAGCUUGCAAGGCAUCUUGUGGGUUGGAAAGAUUUUUUUUGGUUGGGGAUGGACUCGCGGCCUAUCAGCUUGUUGGUGAGGUAGUGGCUCACCAAGGCUUCGACGGGUAGCCGGCCUGAGAGGGCGACCGGCCACAUUGGGACUGAGAUACGGCCCAAACUCCUACGGGAGGCAGCAGUGGGGAAUAUUGCACAAUGGACGGAAGUCUGAUGCAGCAACGCCGCGUGCGGGAUGACGGCCUUCGGGUUGUAAACCGCUUUCAAUUGUGACGAAGCUUUUUUGUGACGGUAGCAGUAGAAGAAGCACCGGCUAACUACGUG
rnacentral:rRNA from 1 species